GGCCUCCCAAUUCUUACCAUAGGUUGUGUUCUUUACACUUAUUGUAUAGAAAGAGGAGAUACAGCAAAUGCAUAUACACCUCAACCCAGGCCCUUUGCCUGGUCUGUAUUGUGAAUUGGGGGACAAAA